ACAAACUUGGUCAUUUAGAGGAAGUAAAAGUCGUAACAAGGUUUCCGUAGGUGAACCUGCGGAAGGAUCAUUAACUAUGCUCACGCAUAACCUUUAGCUCGUGGCGGGUAACCGUCACUGAGUGACCACCCUUUGUGAACCUUUAUUUUUUGCUUCGGCAGCGCACCCUCACGGGUGGUAAGGCUGCCGAUAGCCCACACCAUAAACUAUUUUUGUUAAUAAAACCAUGCAGUCUGAUUAUCUGAUAAAUUUUAAAAAGUUAAAACUUUCAGCAACGGAUCUCUUGGUUCUCGCAUCGAUGAAGAACGCAGC
rnacentral:misc_RNA from 1 species